rnacentral:pre_miRNA from 1 species
UGUUUAGUAUAAAUAUAUUCCAUGCAAUAUUUGUAACAUGUUGAUACUGAAA